GCUUUCUUGUGGCUCAGUUGGCAGAGCAUUGGGCAAACAAUGCAAAGAUUGUGGGUUCAAAUCCCCCGGAAAGCA